UUUGGGAUCCUAGAUACCAUAAAGGGUGUUGGUUCAUUUGGACAGCAGGACGGUGGCCAUGGAAGUCGGAAUCUGCUAAGGAGUGCGUAACAACUCACCGGCCGAAUGAGCUGAUAAGGACAGGCAUAGGGCCAUG
rfam:Plasmopara halstedii genome assembly, contig: Scaffold_410